rnacentral:ncRNA from 1 species
AAGUGAAAAAGGCAAACCAUAGGAAACUAUGAGACGCAAAGCCAAGGGCCUGGACCGCGGGAAUUUCCGUGGAUGGCAGCCGGUUACCACA